CAUGACUCAAUCAACACUAAUCUGGGUGUGAAUAGUUGAAUUAACAAAGCCACACUUGUUAAGAGGUGGAAAACUCCAAUCACUUGUUUCUGAAAGAUACUCCUUGAAGUUUUCCUACCUGUACCAGUGUGCACAUGAGGAUGAUGGCUCGUUGCUGUGGAGGCCCAAACCAUUUCAUGAUAUCACUUCCUGGAAGUGUGGCCCUGAAGGCCAUCAGCACCACUAUAGUCUUCCCCAGGACACAAGAGAUGCAGAGGACAAAGGUGAUCCCAAACGCUGUGUGGCGCAGCAUACAGGACCACUCAGAGGGCCGGCCGAUGAAGGCGAAUAUGAGGAGGACCAAGGUGGUGCAGAAGGACCCUGUCAGAGCCAGUGCCAGCAGCGUGACGCCCAUGGUGUCCGUACCACACAGUCAAAGCAGCAUACAGGCAGGUUGGGCUUGAUGGCCUUCCUGGUUCCUGGGAAGCAGCUGGAGCUACACACAGAGAGGGGAGCCUGACAGGCAGGGAGAACACCAACUACAGAGACGAUGUCCGUCUCCUGGAUCUGCAGCUUCCUCCUGCCCACGCUGACGGUCUGGUCGAACCUUCCCACCGUCACAUACUCCACCUGGCCGUCGGCCCGCGCCUGCCAGCUCACCAGGUCGUACAUGGCUACGGGGUCCCCGUUCUCGUCAAACUUGGUCUCCUCGUUGAACGCGUUGGUGUAGUCCACCUGCUUCAGUGCCAGUCCUUCCUACCUGCCAGGGCUGAAAGCUGUCUGUGUCUGGACAGGCCUGCAGAGGAAACGGCCCGCGGCCAGCCUCACAUCCCCUCAGGUCGUGCAGAGCGUGGGCGAUGGCGUACACAGCUUUGUACACGUUAUAGGAGAUCCUCAGCUGUGACACGUCAGAGUAGAUGUUCCUCACGGUGCCCAGGCUCUCCUUGCCUGAACACGGAGGGACGAUGGACCCUGUCGAGGAACGGCCAGAUCGACCCAGCGAUUAUACCUGCUUACUAGAUGGGGUUGAUGACUUACUUGAUGAUUAUAACUAGGUAGACCCCAGGGGCGUGAAUCUUUUGGUACCGCACAAUUCGAAUCGAUUCUUGGGUUCACGAUUCGAUUAAAAAUUGAUUCACGAUAAAUAAAUAAAAACUAUAAAAAAAAUAAUAAUAAUACCCCCCCAAAAAAAUCGACAUUUGUGUAUCGCUAGAAGACUGAAUCGCGAUUCGAAUGUGAAUCGAUUUUUUCCCCCACCCCUAGUAGACCCCCACGUGGCCUCCACUUUUACCCUGGCUCAGGCUGCAGCCAAACACAGCCUCCCAGAAGGGCCUGAGGAAGGGGUCCAGCUUGGCCUCGGCGCUGGAGGGAUGCAGGCGGAGCAGGAAGUCCUGGAGGCCUGGGAUGUGCGCCCGGCGAAUGGCGAAGCCCAAGGAGCCCAGCAGGAUGGACCGGUAACGGGGUGGCAUGGAGAGGACCGAGGCCGUGCUCCAGGCCUCGCUGGCCAGCCACUGGACCCCCGUCAGCCCCUGUCUGGAGACAGACUUUACUCAAACAACACGCGGAUCCAGUAAAAAUCGUCACCUAAUUUCUUUGACACUGUGGUCGAAUCGAGAACUCAAUGAGCUACUGUUCAGUGAUGAAAUGCACUGUGAUAUUGUGGUUGAGAUGUCGUGGUUAAAAUACAGAAGCCAUCCUUAGCUCUGAACUCUAAAAUACUGUUUGAAAUGUGCACUUCUAAUCCUUGAUAAUCUACUGUGCGGGUGUGCACGUGUGCUAAACAAAUAAAAUAUCCUAAAUAUAUAUUAAACAACAGGGUGCUGGGCUGACCUGAGCACCUCAUCGAACAGAGCUCCAGCAUCCUGCUCCAGGGCGAACACCAGGACCACCCCAGCCUUGGAGGCUCGGAUGUCAGCCACGAUGGUAGCCAUGGCAGCCUCUUCAUGGUUCUUGGGGAUGAUCUCAUGCAGAGCCACACAAGCCCCCAGCUUCUGUACCUGGUCACAUGGAUGGAGUAUGGAGGUUUAAUAUGAUUGGCUGUUAAAAAGAUUGUUUUCA